AGUGAACGCUGGCGGUAGGCCUAACACAUGCAAGUCGGACGGCAGCACAGUAAGAGCUUGCUCGUACGGGUGGCGAGUGGCGGACGGGUGAGGAAUACAUCGGAAUCUACUUUUUCGUGGGGGAUAACGUAGGGAAACUUACGCUAAUACCGCAUACGACCUACGGGUGAAAGCAGGGGAUCUUCGGACCUUGCGCGAUUGAAUGAGCCGAUGUCGGAUUAGCUAGUUGGCGGGGUAAAGGCCCACCAAGGCGACGAUCCGUAGCUGGUCUGAGAGGAUGAUCAGCCACACUGGAACUGAGACACGGUCCAGACUCCUACGGGAGGCAGCAGUGGGGAAUAUUGGACAAUGGGCGCAAGCCUGAUCCAGCCAUACCGCGUGGGUGAAGAAGGCCUUCGGGUUGUAAAGCCCUUUUGUUGGGAAAGAAAAGCAGCAGGUUAAUACCCCGCUGUUCUGACGGUACCCAAAGAAUAAGCACCGGCUAACUUCGUG
rnacentral:rRNA from 1 species